rnacentral:lncRNA from 1 species
GGGUCACCCAUCCUAGGACUACUCCCGUCCUAGUACGCUUAACUCUCUUAACCUCUUGGGCCUUGCCAUCACCCAAAAUGCUUAAGCCGGGUUAAGAGUUUAGCUCUAUUAUAUCUCAUAUAUAGGACUAUCUAGGGUCUCACAAUCUCCCCUCCUUUAAGCUCUGACGUCCUCGUCAGGCUCAGACUCACAAAUACCAAGCGAUGUGAGACUCAUCUCGCUAGCCCGUCAUCCAGACCCUGGCUCAGCAGAGACUUAUCUCACACUUCCGGCUGGUAAUUGGCUCUGAUACCAUCUGUGACGCCCCAACUUCCCAGAGGGUCACCCAUCCUAGGACUACUCCCGUCCUAGCACGCUUAACUCUCUUAACCUCUUGGGCCUUGCCACCACCCAAAAUGUUUAAGCCGGGUUAAGAGUUUAGCUCUAUUAUAUCUCAUAUAUAGGACUAUCUGGGGUCUCACAGAAAUACUUUGCGUCCACGAUCGU